GAACGCUAGCUACAGGCUUAACACAUGCAAGUCGAGGGGCAUCAGGAAGAAAGCUUGCUUUCUUUGCUGGCGACCGGCGCACGGGUGAGUAACACGUAUCCAACCUGCCCUUUACUCGGGGAUAGCCUUUCGAAAGAAAGAUUAAUACCCGAUAGCAUAAUGAUUCCGCAUGGUUUCAUUAUUAAAGGAUUCCGGUAAAGGAUGGGGAUGCGUUCCAUUAGGUUGUUGGUGAGGUAACGGCCCACCAAGCCUUCGAUGGAUAGGGGUUCUGAGAGGAAGGUCCCCCACAUUGGAACUGAGACACGGUCCAAACUCCUACGGGAGGCAGCAGUGAGGAAUAUUGGUCAAUGGGCGCUAGCCUGAACCAGCCAAGUAGCGUGAAGGAUGAAGGCUCUAUGGGUCGUAAACUUCUUUUAUAUAAGAAUAAAGUGCAGUAUGUAUACUGUUUUGUAUGUAUUAUAUGAAUAAGGAUCGGCUAACUCCGUGCCAGCAGCCGCGGUAAUACGGAGGAUCCGAGCGUUAUCCGGAUUUAUUGGGUUUAAAGGGAGCGUAGGUGGACUGGUAAGUCAGUUGUGAAAGUUUGCGGCUCAACCGUAAAAUUGCAGUUGAUACUGUCAGUCUUGAGUACAGUAGAGGUGGGCGGAAUUCGUGGUGUAGCGGUGAAAUGCUUAGAUAUCACGAAGAACUCCGAUUGCGAAGGCAGCUCACUGGACUGCAACUGACACUGAUGCUCGAAAGUGUGGGUAUCAAACAGGACUAGAUACCCUGGUAGUCCACACAGUAAACGAUGAAUACUCGCUGUUUGCGAUAUACAGUAAGCGGCCAAGCGAAAGCAUUAAGUAUUCCACCUGGGGAGUACGCCGGCAACGGUGAAACUCAAAGGAAUUGACGGGGGCCCGCACAAGCGGAGGAACAUGUGGUUUAAUUCGAUGAUACGCGAGGAACCUUACCCGGGCUUAAAUUGCAGUGGAAUGAUGUGGAAACAUGUCAGUGAGCAAUCACCGCUGUGAAGGUGCUGCAUGGUUGUCGUCAGCUCGUGCCGUGAGGUGUCGGCUUAAGUGCCAUAACGAGCGCAACCCUUAUCUUCAGUUACUAACAGGUCAUGCUGAGGACUCUGGAGAGACUGCCGUCGUAAGAUGUGAGGAAGGUGGGGAUGACGUCAAAUCAGCACGGCCCUUACGUCCGGGGCUACACACGUGUUACAAUGGGGGGUACAGAAGGCAGCUAGCGGGUGACCGUAUGCUAAUCCCAAAAUCCUCUCUCAGUUCGGAUCGAAGUCUGCAACCCGACUUCGUGAAGCUGGAUUCGCUAGUAAUCGCGCAUCAGCCACGGCGCGGUGAAUACGUUCCCGGGCCUUGUACACACCGCCCGUCAAGCCAUGGGAGCCGGGGGUACCUGAAGUACGUAACCGCAAGGAUCGUCCUAGGGUAAAACUGGUGACUGGGGC
rnacentral:rRNA from 1 species